rnacentral:rRNA from 1 species
CCCUCAGAUGUUCUGGGCCGCACGCGUGCUACACUGAGUGGAUCAGCGGGUCAGGUUGCGCGAAAGCGUUUCCUAAUCUUUAAAUCCGCUCGUGAUGGGGAUUGACGGUUGCAAUUUUCUGUCAUGAACGAGGAAUACCUUGUAAGCGCGGGUCAUCAUCCCGCGCUGAAUACGUCCCUGCCCUUUGUACACACCGCCCGUCGCUCCUACCGAUUGAGUGGUCCGGUGAGGCUUUGGGAUCUGAGCGGAAAGAGCGUUUCGCUGUUUCUGCUCGGAAAACUCAGUCGAACCUUAUCAUUUAGAGGAAGGAGAAGUCGUAACA